rnacentral:lncRNA from 1 species
GACGCAAGAGAUGAGACUAAAUUAUGGGCAUCCUGGCAGAUUACUUUGUGCUGUUUUUUCCUUGGAGAGCUGAAGGAGUCACUUCUGCUGACGAUUCUCUGAAAACCUUUCCCUGAUAGAGCCAACCCCUCAAGGACUGCUGCUGGACUUGUGAGGCCAUAGAAAGGCCUACAUGGAUAGAGCAGACAAUGCCCCCCCGGAGCAACGGCCUCUAUUAUUAUCAACUGCUGCAUAUCACAGUACAGUUUACAGUUUAGUUUAGUUUGAGGAGUAGGGACUGCUGAGCUUGAAGAUGAGUUCUUGUGCAGAACGGACUAAAAGGAAAAAAGUUAAUUAUUAUUUACUCCCCCAGAGGUUAAGCCUA